rnacentral:rRNA from 1 species
AGAGUUUGAUCCUGGCUCAGGACGAACGCUGGCGGCGUGCUUAACACAUGCAAGUCGAACGGAAAGGCCCUUCGGGGUACUCGAGUGGCGAACAGGUGAGUAACACGUGGGUGAUCUGCCCUGCACUCUGGGAUAAGCCUGGGAAACUGGGUCUAAUACCGGAUAGGACCACACACUUCAUGGUGAGUGGUGCAAAGCUUUUGCGGUGUGGGAUGAGCCCGCGGCCUAUCAGCUUGUUGGUGGGGUAAUGGCCCACCAAGGCGACGACGGGUAGCCGGCCUGAGAGGGUGACCGGCCACACUGGGACUGAGAUACGGCCCAGACUCCUACGGGAGGCAGCAGUGGGGAAUAUUGCACAAUGGGCGCAAGCCUGAUGCAGCGACGCCGCGUGAGGGAUGACGGCCUUCGGGUUGUAAACCUCUUUCAGUAGGGACGAAGCGAAAGUGACGGUACCUACAGAAGAAGGACCGGCCAACUACGUGCCAGCAGCCGCGGUAAUACGUAGGGUCCGAGCGUUGUCCGGAAUUACUGGGCGUAAAGAGCUCGUAGGUGGUUUGUCGCGUUGUUCGUGAAAACUCACAGCUUAACUGUGGGCGUGCGGGCGAUACGGGCAGACUAGAGUACUGCAGGGGAGACUGGAAUUCCUGGUGUAGCGGUGGAAUGCGCAGAUAUCAGGAGGAACACCGGUGGCGAAGGCGGGUCUCUGGGCAGUAACUGACGCUGAGGAGCGAAAGCGUGGGUAGCGAACAGGAUUAGAUACCCUGGUAGUC